GGGGGCGUGGGAGUGUUUGUGCAAACUGCCAUGCUAAGGGAAAAGAAACCAAAGAAGGAACUUGCUAAUUGAUUUAGCUGAUGCCUCCUGGACCGUGCAAGUUGGUCAGAAACACAACUCCAAGGACAUCCUGAAGAUAAAGUACAUCACUUCCGAAGUGCUGAUAUUCUGGCUGAACCUAUAUUCCAAAAACACAGAGGAGCUGCAGCAAGGAAUGGCAAGUGAAGGGUUAAAAUCAUUUGACAUGCCACACAAAGUGCUCCCACAGUUUAAAAAUGUUAAUCCGUUUUGAAAGUCUAAGUCAUCCCCUGCUGAUAAAGAAAAUGAACACAGGAACAGAGGAAAAACUGGAAUUUCUGAAUUGAGAAUCUGUGUGGCUUUUCAUCAACACUUGGUAGGCAGUCCAAAUGCUCGAUCCUGUCAUCCAGCACACUGGUGCGCAACACUGCCUCGCUUAUAAAACCAGCCAUUAUGCUUACGUGUAUUUGUUAAGUAGCCAGUUUUAGAAGAUGCCAUAUGCCAUGCACCUGCACACAGGGGAGAGGACUGGGACACCAAAAGGUAUUCUUGAAAGUUUCUGAACCUACUGAUUCCUUUCAAUGCCAAUUAUAGAGAUCCCAAGAUAGUCCCCAUGGAAUGUAGCAAUUAACUUCUAUCAACUCCCCACCCCCAGCUCUGGCUGAUUUAACAAAAGCAGAAGAAGAGGGGGAGGAAAAGCAACAUUGCCACUGCUCUGUGUAGGAAGUAGCAAGGAGAAAUCCCUGGCUCCUAGUCCUGCUGCAGCUGUUCCCAGUGGGGAGCGAAGAUCUGACCUUUCAUAUGACAUCUUACUCAAGAGAUGCCAGUUCCCCUUUAAAUACUGAGGGUGAUGAGAGUCCCUGGUAUUGCUUUAAGAGUAGGAGUUUUUGUUUUUUGCCAGAUAUGCCUUCUCCUGUUUAUAGUUACUCUGUUUACAGGGUUUAAUGAUGCAAAGUGCUGCUGGGCAUCAGUGGGAAUGGAGGGUGUUCAGUACCUCACAAGACUGAUUCCUGUUUUGGAGGGAAAUCCUGACUAGAGGAUGAUCCUACUAUAGCUUUUUUGCUUUGUUAGCCACAAUAAUAUUUUAACAAAUCGCAGAAACUACAGUAUGUUCUUCCUAUUAUCGCAGGUACAAAGGUGCUUUCACCACCUUGCAGACACUAUAACAGACAAUAUAUAAGAAGCAGUCUUUUUCCUUUCAUUAUUUUAAGCAGGCACUUGCCUUCUGUUUGUUUGUUUUUUUUAAAUAUAUUACAUUUUAUAAAUUCAGAACUUGUAGGCUCAGAGUACGAUGCUUCCCAUGGCCCAAAGCAAACAUCUCUGAUUUUAGCAUCCUAUUAUGCAUGGAUGAAAAGUUAAGCUAAUAACUAAUUUUCAUCCCCACAACGCACAUACCCCUGACAAGAUUAAAAAUGAUUGUCUUUAACGGAUGUUUAAGUGGACAAAUGGGCAAGUGAGGAAAGAAAGUAUGAUCCUGCAUUAGAAAUAGAUAAUUUUGCCAGCGCACAUAUGAAAAUACAAGCAAAAGAGAAAAAAGACAUAGGCAGAGAACACGUCACGUUUGUGCCAUACAUAAUCAACUGGGAGUGAAAGGCAUUAAAAAGGCUCCGAUUGG